rnacentral:rRNA from 1 species
UACGUAGGGUGCGAGCGUUGUCCGGAAUCAUUGGGCGUAAAGAGCGUGUAGGCGGCCCGGUAAGUCCGCUGUGAAAGUCCAGGGCUCAACCCUGGGAUGCCGGUGGAUACUGUCGGGCUCGAGUCCGGAAGAGGAGAGUGGAAUUCCUGGUGUAGCGGUGAAAUGCGCAGAUAUCAGGAAGAACACCCGUGGCGAAGGCGGCUCUCUGGGACGGUACUGACGCUGAGACGCGAAAGCGUGGGGAGCGAACAGG